rnacentral:rRNA from 1 species
UACGAGGGGAGCAAGCGUUGUUCGGAUUUACUGGGCGUAAAGGGCGCGUAGGCGGUCGUGACAAGUCACUUGUGAAAUCUCCGGGCUUAACUCGGAACGGUCAAGUGAUACUGUCGGACUAGAGUACAGAAGGGGCAACUGGAAUUCUCGGUGUAGCGGUGAAAUGCGUAGAGAUGUGGAAGGAAUACCGAUGGCGGAAGGCA